UACGUAGGUGGCAAGCGUUGUCCGGAUUUACUGGGUGUAAAGGGCGUGCAGCCGGGCCGACAAGUCAGAUGUGAAAUCCGCGGGCUUAACCCGCGAACUGCAUUUGAAACUGUCGGUCUUGAGUAUCGGAGAGGCAGGCGGAAUUCCUAGUGUAGCGGUGAAAUGCGUAGAUAUUAGGAGGAACACCAGUGGCGAAGGCGGCCUGCUGGACGGUGACUGACGCUGAGGCUCGAAAGCGUGGGGAGCAAACAGG
rnacentral:rRNA from 1 species